UCCCCCUUACCCUGUGACACAGAAACCACCAGAAGAAAAGGGAACUUCAGGAAGUAAGCGGUGCCGCCGGUUUCAAUCCUGUUCUUAGUCUUUGCAGCGUGGAGUUCACACCCCUGGGGACCUGAGGGCCGAGCUGUGAUUUCCUAGGAAGACAAAUAGCAGCUGACGGCGUGGGCAAGUCUGCCCACAUGUACCGCGCCAAAACAGGAAGGGCUGAGACCCCCACCUCGCCUCCACCAAGGGCCCAUCGGUCUUCCCCCUGGCGCCCUGCUCCAGGAGCACCUCCGAGAGCACAGCGGCCCUGGGCUGCCUGGUCAAGGACUACUUCCCCGAACCGGUGACGGUGUCGUGGAACUCAGGCGCUCUGACCAGCGGCGUGCACACCUUCCCGGCUGUCCUACAGUCCUCAGGACUCUACUCCCUCAGCAGCGUGGUGACCGUGCCCUCCAGCAACUUCGGCACCCAGACCUACACCUGCAACGUAGAUCACAAGCCCAGCAACACCAAGGUGGACAAGACAGUUG
rnacentral:lncRNA from 1 species